rnacentral:rRNA from 1 species
UACGUAGGGGGCAAGCGUUGUCCGGAUUUAUUGGGCGUAAAGAGCGUGUAGGCGGCUAGGCAGGUCUGCUGUGAAAACUCGAGGCUCAACCUCGAGAUGUCGGCGGAAACCGUCUGGCUAGAGUCCGGAAGAGGAGUGUGGAAUUCCCGGUGUAGCGGUGAAAUGCGCAGAUAUCGGGAAGAACACCCGUGGCGAAGGCGGCACUCUGGACCAUAACUGACACUGAGGCACGAAAGCCGGGGGAGCAAACAGG